AAGUCGUAACAAGGUCUCCGUUGGUGAACCAGCGGAGGGAUCAUUACAGAGUUGCAAAACUCCCAAACCAUCGUGAACGUUACCUACAUCGUUGCUUCGGCGGGUGGCGGGCUUCGGCCCUGCCCUCGGCCCCUCUCGGGGGCCCGCCGGAGGUACACCAAACUCUUGAAUUUACAUGGCCUCUCUGAGUCUUCUGUACUGAAUAAGUCAAAACUUUCAACAACGGAUCUCUUGGUUCUGGCAUCGAUGAAGAACGCAGCGAAAUGCGAUAAGUAAUGUGAAUUGCAGAAUUCAGUGAAUCAUCGAAUCUUUGAACGCACAUUGCGCCCGCCAGUAUUCUGGCGGGCAUGCCUGUCCGAGCGUCAUUUCAACCAUCAAGCCCCCGGCUUGUGUUGGGGACCUGCGGCACACCCGCAGGCCCUGAAAACCAGUGGCGGGCUCGCUGUCCACACCGAGCGUAGUAGCAUAUCUUUGUCUCGCUCAGGGCGUGCGGCGGGUUCCGGCCGUGAAACCCACCUUCUCGAAGGUACCCAAAGGUUGACCUCGGAUCAGGUAGGAAGACCCGCUGAACUUAA
rnacentral:rRNA from 1 species